AAAAGAAAAAAGAAAAAAUGCUCCUGCUGGAUCAGUUUUUUUAAGAGCUUUUAGCAAGUAACCUUUUGCCUAUAGACUACAUUUUCUCAUUCAUGUACUCUUCCUCAAAGUAAAUUUCACUAAAAUAAUUUGUUAACUAAAAAGAAUAAAUGAUAGUCUUUUUUUAUCAUUUAACUAAAAAGAUUUCAGUUUGGAACCUCAUAUUUACCAAAAUCUCACAGCUUUUAAGUCCAAAAAUGGGGAAAAAGAAUCAUGCAAUCUAAACAUAUUUUGGGCUUAAAGCACUAUGAGCUUUGGAUGUGUUAGACUAAAAGCUAUAUGAGCUUAAAACAAUUUUUUUUCAGAAAAAAGUU
rnacentral:lncRNA from 1 species